CCUACGGGGUGCAGCAGUCGAGAAUCAUUCACAAUGGGGGAAACCCUGAUGGUGCGACGUCGCGUGAGGGAUGAAGGUUCUAUGGAUCGUAAACCUCUUUUAUAAGGGAAUAAAGUGUGGGACGUGUCCUAUUUUGUAUGUACCUUAUGAAUAAGGAUCGGCUAACUCCGUGCCAGCAGCCGCGGUAAUACGGAGGAUCCGAGCGUUAUCCGGAUUUAUUGGGUUUAAAGGGUGCGUAGGCGGCCUUUUAAGUCAGCGGUGAAAGUCUGUGGCUCAACCAUAGAAUUGCCGUUGAAACUGGGGGGCUUGAGUAUGUUUGAGGCAGGCGGAAUGCGUGGUGUAGCGGUGAAAUGCUUAGAUAUCACGCAGAACCCCGAUUGCGAAGGCAGCCUGCCAAGCCAUGACUGACGCUGAUGCACGAAAGCGUGGGGAUCAAACAGGAUUAGAUACCCCUGUAGUC
rnacentral:rRNA from 1 species